AACAUCUCUCCUUGUUGUAUAGUAAAUAAGGAGUUGGGCCUGCUCGGUGAAAGUUUUUAACAGCUGCGGUAUUUUAACUGUACUAAGGUAGCAUAAUAAUUUGCCUUAUAAUUUGAGGCUAGAAUGAAUGGUUUGACGAAGGUUAAUCUGUCUCCGUUUUAUUUUUUAGAAAUUAAUUUUCACAGUGAAAAAGCUUGAAUUUUUUAAAGGGACGAGAAGACCCUAUUGAGCUUGUAAUUCUAUUAUUAUUAUGUUUAUUAAAUUAUCAUUAAUAGUAUAUGAAUUUUAAUUGGGGUGAUUAAGGAAUAAAUAAUUUAUAAUAUAUAACUUCCUUAGAGUAUUAUAUUGUUGAAUGAAUUAACCGAUAUAAUUAACACAGGUUGUGUUGUGUAUUGCUUAUAAUAUAGUUACCAUAGGGAUAACAGCGUAAUUUACUUAGAGAGUUCUUAUUGAAAAGUAAGAUUGCGACCUCGAUGUUGGAUUAAAGUAACCUUAAGGUGCAGAAGCUUUAUAAGGUAAAUCUGUUCGAUUUUUAAAACUUUACGU
rnacentral:rRNA from 1 species